CUGAAGCGCAUGUCAGAUUUUAUUUCAAUAUAACGUUAUCAUGGUCUGAUAAUCACUAUUGUGUUUCAAUUUUGGGUAACAUAAUAUUUGAGUUUAACAAUCUAUGCAGCCGCGAAGAAUUCAUAAAUACGCGAUCAGUCUAAUUUAUUUAAAUUCUUUAAAAUAAAUAUAGCAGUUCAUGGAAUAAAAUACAAUGUGGAAUAAUAAUUAAGUACAUCGAAUGAAGAAAAAAUAAUAAACGAAUGGCGGGUCACCAAAGAACCGAUCCGUUGGAGUUACACCUUAGUGGUUACAACCUUCCCACAGAAAGCAUGUUUGAAUUACGAGCGGCACUAAUGAAGCGAUUUGUCAAGCGUUUCUCUGACGGUCUCUCACCAGAGGCCCGACAAGCCAUGCAACAAGUCAUUUGUGAGGACAUCGGGGAACAUAAGCUCUCAAACACGUUUGAUCCUGUUUACUCGAUUCAACAAAGGAAGUUCGCGAAAAGGAACGUAAUUGUGUCGGACGUUUUUGAAGGCAAAUGAUAAUUAACAUAAAGAUUGCUUGUGCGUUGGUAGUAGUAUAAAAUAGGAAAUAUACAUAGUAAACCAGGUUAACAAUAUACUAACAUCUAUUCUACAAAGUCUUAUAUAUAGCAUCAGCUACAAAUUAGAAGAAAUUUAACCGAGGAUACACGUGAUUUUAUGUGCUACAGACAACGACUUUCACAAAGCAUUUACUUAUGUAAUUGGCAAAUUGUAAUUUGAGUGGUUAUUUUAGGACAUUUGCUUGAACAACGGAUGUUGAAACGAUAUUUGUAUCAUUAGACGUUGACUUUUUGUAUUCAUACCUUUAUACCUUCAAGAUAAGUAUGUGGAAAUUGGAGUGAUUGGAGAUUAAAACCAAUAUCUUAUAAUGUAAUUAAAUUGAUUCAACGUAAGGUUUUAGAUCCUGAAUUUAUUUGCGGCGACAGUUUAAUCUAAUAACCGCUAGUGGAGGUAACUGUUGAUGGAAAUGCGACCUCUUUGUAGAAAUUCAAAUGCCAUAAAACAUAAAAUAUAAUUUACUGCCACUUAGAUACCCAACUUCAACAUACAAACCAUAUUAUAUGCGUGCUUAAAAACAACUUUGCGUUUUCUGCAGGUGUUUAACAAGUUGGGUUAAGUUUGAAAAAAAUGUUUGAAAUUGUAAAUGUUGAAAACAUUAUCUUGAAAGAUAACUGCGUCGAAUUACGCAUUUCAAAAGAAUUGAAAUGAAAAAUAGCAAUUGUAUUUUACCGCUGCUAGUAUGUACAUAGAACUUAUGAAAGGAUUGGGGGCAUUAAAGGAAAACACUCAAUUUAACAAGGUAUUUAGCGCACUCAUUUAGGAAGCGAAAUUAAAAUACGCCAAAGUAUGCAUAAGGCCCACUAACGAAAUAAUGAAUACAGGUAAUAAAUUUUCCAAAAGCUUA